rnacentral:pre_miRNA from 1 species
AAUAAACCAAUUUUCCACUUUUUAUCUUCAAUUUUUGACUCUUCGUCUUAUUUAAUUUUUUUUACGAUUGAUAUUUUUGUUUUUAUUAGAUGAUAAAUCAUAAAUAGUAUUUUACGUGUGACUAAUUUUUUUUAAUUUUUUAAAAAAAUUUCAAAUAAAACGGAUGGUCAAACGUUAGAAACACAAACCGA